UUUACAGUCUGAAUAAAAUCAGAAAUAAAACUCCAGCACAUACCUGAGGGCAUCUUUGUGGUCUCUGAAUGUCUGCUUAGGGAACACCAUGACAGGACUGGAGUUGACUGGCAAGGCCAACCUGUUGUUCAGGUACAUGUCCUCCAGCCAGUAGUCAUAGACCUGAAUAAAACCACAGUCACAGACAAGCACAGACACUUUUCUUUGAGAAAUGUUGCCUCGUUAAGCGUUUUGGACUCAAGUUAUUACUUUCAGUGUUCAGACCUGUGUGCAGUGGAGUAAAAGACCAUUACAGUGUAUCACUGCCAGAUGGAAAGAGAGGGAGAGAGUCGGCGUGUGAGUGGGCGCCUGAUAGAUUUCACUGAGCUGGAUGAGCUGUGGACUGACCGAUCACCCAGACGGGAGGCAGGAGGACAGAUUGAAGCAACAAAGGACGAGCAGAGGCUCCGAUAAAUCUUCAGCGUCAGUUGGUCGUCUUGUCCCUCCUCUCUAAGAGCUUCUUCUGGAGAACUUCUCCCACACCUCCAGGAGCCCCAAACUUCUCCACGAUGGUCUUUGUCUUCUUAAACUGAUCCUCCUUAAUCAGGUGUUGGACACACUUCAAGUAUGUGUCAAGGGUUUGUUUCAGUGGUGGCACAGGGACCUUUGGCAACACCUGAUGUCACAAAAACAACACAUUGGUGUAAAUAGUCAUAACGUGUAAUGAAAGGGCAGCAGCUGUUCUUGCUGUGAUUCACUGACUGUUCAUUAGUUAAAGUUAGUUUUCUUUACAAUUUUAUUAUUAGAACCCGAGUUAAUGAUUCAUCUUCGGUGCUUGGAGUGUUUUCAAGUCCCACAUUCUUGUACAACUUGAAAACACUCUUGUUAAAGAAUGGAACAUGCAAAUUGAUUAUCUCUUAUGUUUGAUCAGUUGCAUAAUGCCGCCAUUAGCAACUCAAUGUGGCCCCUGCAGGCCUGUAUGAUUUCCUUUUUCCUGCUUAGCUGGUGAUCACUAGCCAGUCAUAGGGUGUGGGAAUCCUUUAAAUGCAGCUAACCGUUGUCCAACUCUCUCUUUCUCUCCUGCUGAAAACCCGACCCACUCUCCUGUUCUGUAAACCUCUCUAAUUGUUGUGGGUAUGGGGACAAUGUCUGUGUUGUUUGUUCUCCAGAUUAUUCCCCUAAACUACAGUCAUAUUGACAUUUAUGAUUUUUCAUAGGUUCCUCUGUAGUGACUUUCCUCCCUCUGAAGUGACCUGCUCAUGAUCCCCCAUUGGUUCACUGCUCUGUCUCCUGAAAUCCCCUGGUGUUACCGCUUCUAUUAAGCCUCCCCUGUGAGUUUCCUGGACAGUUCCCUUCCUGUUCCUCAUCAGCUACCAGACCACACUGGACUCACCUGCCAAGCAGACCAUGAUUCCACCUUCUCUGGACUCAGUGUUCACUUGCUUGGACUCAUAUUACGGAUAUUACGGACUCUCAGCUCGGGCAGAUGGUGAUCAAUCCAUGCAUUCCAUAAUCCCAGCAGUAAAAGACACCAGACAUGACCAGACCUCCAGCCCAUCUCCACUGCCUUCAUUCUGGAGGGAGGUAUUGUCAUGGAUCGUGUUAAAAACUUGCCUCAGGCAGUUUGUCUGUUAUUUGGGCUUACAUAUGCUUUGCAUUUGGAUUACCCAAAAUGCAUGGCAAAGACACUCAGCUUCAUUCAGACUGUGAUGCUUUGACUGGGAAAGAAAAACCUCCCACCAAAACUGUUAACUCUGAAGAACAGUCUGCUGGGUUAGACCAGUAAAGUGCCAUCAGCUGUCAGAAAGCACUUUACGUUAUGCAGCCAUUAAUGUUCUGUUAUCAGAGAAAGUUUGAUGCUUUCAUGCAACUAAGCUGGCUUGUGUAUGAUCUCAAUUUUUUUUAAAAAAUAUGCCAUUAAAGUCUGUACCAUGUUGUGCUGGUAUGCUAAUGGUGGAAAUAGCUCCAAUUUGUAUUGCAAAGAGUUGUUGUUGUAAAGUCCUGUAGUUAUCAGGUGUUUACCUGUUUCAUAUUAUGAGACUGUUACAUGCAUAGAAUUAGCUCACAAGAGUGUGGUUUUAUUUUUGCCUUGUCCAUGUCAUGUUCUACGGUCAAAUCAAACCACAAGUUUGUUGUUUAACUGCUGGUUUGUACUUGAAUGUACAAGAAAGUGAUACUUGAGACUGAAUCAUAGAUUUAAUGCAUAUUGUUAUUACAAUAGCCUAACAGACAUAGAUCACACUAUGAGCAAUUUUACAAUUGGCUUUAAAAUACAUAUUAAAUAUGACAAGAGGAUGGAGGAGAAGAAAGAGAGGGAAGAAGGACAAGGACUCAUUCAAGGAAAUUAAUUUUGUUUAAUUUAAGUGAACUUGAAAAAUGAGUGAGUAGUAAGUUGUGGGUGUUUAGUAAUUCUAAGUGGGGUUAAAUCUGGAUCAAGCAGUCCACACAAAAUGAAAAAUUUAAGUUAACACUAAGCAUGGCUAUUGAGUUACAUGAACUUAAUUUUAUUUCUUUUUAGUUGCACUACUUGAUUUAGUACCGCACACUUUUAAAAAAAGCGAGCUUUCCCAACUCACUAAUCUUAAGAUUACUUUGCUCAAUUUUUUUGAGGCAACGAGUUUGCAUACUUUUUUUAAAGUAAGGUCAACCACUUAGAUUUUUACAGUGUACACUCUUUAUAUACUCAUACUGUUUAAGUAAUGCAAUAAAACAAUUUGUGAUUGAACAAAGUGGUAUUUACUCAAACUGUUUGCAUAGCAUGAAUGGCAUCCGUGGCCUAGAGGUUGUAGAAGCUGCUUGUGACCAGAGGGUUGCCAGUUUGAUUCCAGGAAAGGUUUGGGUGUGGUGAAGUGAUUGAUCGAUGCUGUCAAAGUAGAGAGUUAAUGCAGUGUCAUAUAAAGUCCUCAGUAGUGUCCUGCACACUGCAAAGAACCACAGCAGGUGUAGGCGACUUUGUCCCUUCUUGUGCAGGAAACUAACGUUGUCCAACCAGUUACAUGUUUGUGUGCCCUUGAGCAAGGCACUU